CUGUGACUAAUCUAUGGCUCUGACAUUUUGAAUUUGACACAAAACAGACAAAACGAAAAUAAUUUUACGACAACAAUAUUACUAAUACGCAGUUGUGUUUUAUAAUAAAUCAAAAUGAGUGUACGUGAGGAAGAUAGGCAGAAAAAUAGCUGCCCAAGCCGUGGUCUUGGCAUCGCUGCUGCGGCCAUUGGCGUUGGUGUCGGAGCAGCCUUAUAUUAUUUCUUCAAUAAACGGCAGGAAACUCCAAAUUCUGAAGGUUCUACCAGUAAUUGGCAAUGCGAACAACCUCAGACCUUGGGUGUUGGUCCGACAUUGGGGACCGCGCGCCGCUUCAGGUUCACCCCCUCUGCCCGCUACGCCGCAGUAGUCGGUCAGGUUUGGCGCGCAAACAGUGUACUGAACGACUCGACUGAAUCCCACAUUACGAUUUCUGAGCACGAAACCACAGACACGAGCAUAAAUCAAACGGAAAAUUCAAACGAAAUAGACGAUUCUGAAGAAUCGGACCCUUCAGAGAUGGAUUUUUCAGAGAUAUCGGAUUCUUCAGAAAUGUCAGAACAUUCAGAGAUGUCAAACUCAGACCAAUCGGAACUUUUAGAAACUUCUGACUCAAGUACAAGUACAAAUAGUUCAGAAAUGAAUGAUGUUUUCAUGGGUCAUAGUACAGGGGGAUUUGAAAAUUCUUCUUUUCAAAAUGCUACGCCGUCAGUAAUGGAAUCUGACACGGAAAUAGAAUGGGACGUGACUGACUCUUCUGCGGGCGUCCCAGAAGAUGCCGGUCAUUCUUCUAUCACUAGUCUGCUCGGUAGAAUAGAUGGUAUUAUUAGUCGUAGAAAAAAGAAAACUGAAGAGGAACAAAUGGCUAUUUUAAGACAGGAAGCCUUCCGUGAGCGCUCCUGGUCGCUCGAGGAGUGUUCCAUUUGCUUCGACGUGAUGCUUCGCAACCAGGACCUGACUUCGCUCCCCUGCACCCAUAACUUCCACACGGACUGCAUCAUGCCAUGGUUGCAGGAGAAGCAGACCUGCCCCAACUGCCGUAAAGUCGCCUAGUGACCUCAUAGACUCGUGUAUCCAAUGCGCUGUUCGGAGCUCUCUCUCGCAGCCAAAAUCACCACUGACAUAAGGAAUCAACAUUAAUAACAGCACUUGGUAAAAGGUACGCGUCCACAGGCCCGCAUCGUACGCAUCGCACGCAACGGAUUUUAGUUUGUCUUGUAUAGAAACUCAUACAACUGCGUCCACUGAUCCGCAUCGUACGGACCGCAUCAUCGGCAAUGCCUACAUGCGAUGCGUACUGAUGACGGCAUACGGAAUGCGUACGAUGCGGGCCUGUGGACGCUUACCUUAAAAAUACAUAUUUGAUAAUAAUAAUUAAUAUAUUUCUCAUUUCUGUAAUAAAUAAACUAAAAUAAAUUGUGUAAAGAAUUUUGUGAUAGGUAUAAUAAUGAAAUUAAAGAAACGCUAGGCGUACAAUCUUUGAAAGAUAGAAUAUGACUCUUUUCAAACUCCGGUAGUCUUAGUAUGAGUUUGCUUUACGUUUAAAGCAAUCGAAACGAGAGCGAAUAGUGAAAACGCAAAUGAAGGAAGUGCGAAUAAGGAGCUUCUACUGUAUAUGACGUUAGUAAGAGCAGGAGUAAUAUUCUACUCUAUUAUCACUACAUAGGAGUGUCUGAAAAGAGUAUAAGCGUUAAUUCUUUGUCACUUAUUAAAAGAUUGUCCAGUCAACUGAUGGUAGCGAGGUUCACUGUCCAGUGACACACGUACGCUGGUAUCGUCAUGAGCUAAUGUCGACAUGUAAACAGUGACUCGUGUAGUGUAGAGAUUGUCCAGUCAACUGAUGGUAGCGAGGUUCACUGUCCAGUAAUUUAGUAGAUAUUUUCAAGUGACUUAGAAUAAACUGCUUAUUACAUUUAAAAUUAGGUAUUAGAUGGUUUUAAAAUACUUCAUUUUGGUUGUUUUUAAGAAUUAUACUCAUUAGUUUUGAUUUUGAACAAGUACUUGUAUUUUUUUUAGGUUUUUUCAUUAAAAACGUAAUAAAAAAUAACUUAGUCUAGUCAUUAAAUCAGCUUUUUAAACGUAUCCUAUCUAAAAAAUUUAAUUAUUUUCUUUAUUUUGACUCUGAUCGGUGACUGAAAACGGUAUAAUGUGAAAUAUGACAAAAAUAAAACGAAAUAAAUAUGAAUUGUUAAGGCAGAUGUCGUUAGCAUCGCUUUUAAGACAUUGUCAAACUAAUGUUUAUUGUGCAGGACUUUAAAACUCACUAGCGACAUCUAGACAACGCGAAAAUGUUAUUGUGAACUUUGAAAGAUGGAUUUAUUUAUUUUAGUUGAAAUUGAACAAUAUGAAUAAUUGUACUUUAAAGAAAUAUGUGAAAAGCAAUAAAAGAAUGGCUGGGCCUCUUAAUAUAUUGUUAUUAUUGUUUUUUGAAGAGAUUUUUAAACUUUUGUCUUUAUUUUUUUGUGAAAUUUCUUGAAAAUUGAUAUGGUAUAUGGUUAAGGGCUGUGUAGUCAAUGAAAACUUACAUAUUUUGAAAACAAUGUGAUAUUAAUAUGUGUUAGAAAUGAAAUUGUGUAUUAGGCUCUAGAUUUUCAUAAUAAUAAAGGUAAUUUUAAUGAUUUUUAA